AACAUACUCCCUCCGUUCCGAAUUACUUGUCUUAGAUUUGUGUAGAUACAAAGAUAUCUAGCACUAAAAUGAGUCUAGAUACAUCCGUAUCUAGACAAAUCCAAAACAAUUAAUUCGGAAUGGAGGGAGUACAUG
rfam:Triticum aestivum genome assembly, contig: Triticum_aestivum_CS42_TGACv1_scaffold_194663_3AL